GGAACACCGUAGGAAGCUUUUAUGGUAUGAGCGUAGAAUUUUGGCAGGUGCAGAGCCUAAAUGCAAAGAGGGACGUGUACCGCUUGUUACUGUUGAAGCACUGCAUCAAAUACACAUCCUCAUUUUCUUUUUGGCAGUCCUUCAUGUGUUAUACAGUGCGAUUACCAUGUGGUUGGGAAGACUUAAGAUUCGUGGCUGGAAAGGUUGGGAGCAAGAGACUUCAACCCAUAGUUACGAGUUUACAAAUGAUCCUUCAAGAUUUAGACUUACUCAUGAGACAUCUUUUGUCCGAGCGCAUACUAGUUUCUGGACAAGGAUCCCGAUCUUCUUUUACAUUGGAUGCUUCUUCAGACAAUUUUUCAAGUCUGUCAGUAAGUCAGACUACUUGGCUCUGCGCAAUGGUUUCAUAAGUGUUCAUCUGGCUCCUGGAAGUAAAUUUAACUUCCAAAAGUACAUCAAGAGGUCAUUAGAGGAUGACUUCAAGGUAGUUGUCGGUGUCAGUCCAGUUUUAUGGGCAUCAUUUGUGCUUUUCUUGCUUCUGAAUGUUAGCGGGUGGCAAGCAUUGUUCUGGGCAUCCUUAAUUCCUCUAAUUAUCAUUUUAGCUGUUGGAACAAAGCUUCAAGCUGUUUUGACUAGGAUGGCCCUUGACAUUAAAGAGAGACAUGCAGUAGUUCAAGGAAUCCCUCUUGUACAAGCCUCAGACAAAUAUUUUUGGUUUGGUCGACCACGACUGGUUCUUCACCUCAUUCAUUUUGCCUUGUUUCAGAAUGCAUUCCAGAUAACAUAUUUUCUGUGGAUAUGGUAUGAGUAUGGGCUAAAAUCUUGCUUCCACGAGGCGUUUGAGCUGGUCAUUGCAAAAAUUGUUAUAGGAGUGGGAGUCUUAUUCCUAUGCAGUUAUAUCACUCUUCCACUUUAUGCCCUUAUAACUCAGAUGGGAUCCCAUAUGAAAAAAUCCAUCUUUGAUGAGCAAACCUCCAAGGCACUAAAGAAGUGGCAUAUGGCUGUGAAGAAGCGGACAGGAGCGAGGGGUGACAGGUCCCCUACCCGAACACUGGGUAAUGCAAGUCCAAGGUCUGCAAUGAGCUCACCUGUGCACCCAUCAGGCCCUGGUCUUCAUCGAUACAAAACCACUGGUCACUCAUCGCGUUUCCAGGGCUACAGUGAUCAAGAAGCAUCCGACCUUGAAAAUGAUCCAACAACACCGAUGACUCGUGCAGAGAUAGCAACUACACAUAUUGAUCAUGAUGACACAGAAAUUCAUGUGCAUAUUCCUCAAAAUGGAGAAUCUACUAGGAAUGAAGAUGACUUCUCAUUUGUG
rnacentral:misc_RNA from 1 species